CAAACUGUAGCUUAAACAAAGCAUCUCGCUUACACCGAGAAAAUGCCUGAUGACCCCGGGCCACUUUGA
rnacentral:tRNA from 1 species